rnacentral:lncRNA from 1 species
AUGGAUUCCUCUCACUUUUUUGUGUAUUUUCUCUCCUAUUAUGUUCCCACCUGUCAUAUCUGGAAAAUCCUUCAGGCUAACUGUCAGAAAUCUACAGAGCAAAUGAAGAAGGUCCCUACUAUUAUUCUUUCAGUCUCUUAUAAAGGUGUCAAAUUUAUCGAUGCAACAAAUAAGGUAGGCAUCACACCUCUGUUUGGUUUAGCUAUCAGAUACAGUCCUGAGUUUGUGAUCUAAAAUCCUUUGUCCUACAUUUCAUGGUGUUUGUAACUAGCAGUGCUAUUGUAUGGGUAUGACAGUGUGGAAGGGAAAGUCUAAUAAGGUCAUGUAUAUUACUGGAAGGAAAGCUAAAAACUGUAACAUGGGACUCUAAGAGAGCAAAACCUCAUGUAAGAAACAAAUAUGGGUGACAUUGCAUAUAUGACUGUUUUUACAAAAUGUAAAUACAAAUACACUAGAGAUAAGGAAAAAUAAUAGUAGCUAUGUAUGGCAGGGGAAGCAAAGAGAGAUUGAGAGGUGAUGAGUUUUGGUGGUUUGUUUGGUUUUGUUUAUUAUUAUUAUUAAUGGAAUAAUGAAAGUGCUCUAGGAAUGAUUGAAAUGAUGAUGCACAAAUAUGCGAUUGCACAGAAAACCAUUGAUUGUACAUGUUGGAUAGAUUUGUGCCUUGAUAUGUAUCAAUAAAAUCGAUUUAAGAAAAAAAUCCUUUGUCCCCCAUCAUGCCCAAAUCCUCCAUUUUAAUCAUUCCCCACCCCCAUCCUUCAUGCUCCCCAAACACACCUAUAAAUACGCACACACACACACUCUCAUAUAUAUAUGAAGGAGCGUUUUAUUUGAGAGACUUGACCUGGGAUUCCUAUAAAUGUUUUUAUUUCACUUUUCCAUGAUGCCUUCUCUGAUAGACUAUUACCACUUAUUAUCCGACAUGUCCCUUUGGAUCUAGAGAACAUUGAAGCAGAAGAAAAUAACUUAUAGAAUGAAAGGCAACAAUUUCAUUACUUCUUUAUCAGAGGAAAUGCCACUAGUUAAGGGCUAGCUCAUUUGUCUUUCCAUUUCUCUCUAUAGAUCCUUUCAUUUAAUGCACAUAAUAAAAGCCAGUCACAAGGAACACAUUCUGACUUUUUUAUUCUAAAUUACAUUUAAUUUUCAAUGACUGAGAUGGGAGAGAAAGUUUCAACCUCAUUCUUUUCUUAAGAAACACAAUCAGAAAAGAAGCCAAGGCCGUGCUGGGGCUCUAGUGUGACUUUGUACUUGCAGUGGGAACAGUCUGUGGACUCUAAGGUACAGUAUGAACAACUCGGUUGCAUUUUACUUGAAAAUGUUCUCAAGCUCUUUUCCUGGUGGAGGCCGCUGACACCCAGUGCUGGACUAGGAUUGGACUGCUCUCAAGCACCCCAAACUCAAUGCUGACUGGCUCUUCCUUGCAGAGCCCAAGCAUCUGUGUGUUUUAUUGCUACAUUCUUCCAAGUGAUAAACUACAGAAAGAGGAGAAAUGAAGUGAAAACCAUUGGUGAACACUGUUUGUUUUCUGAACUGCCCACCUUGAUCCAUGUCCAAUUUGGAGGAUAGGAAGUCUGGGAACAGGUGAACUUAAGCGAUGAUGACUUAAGGCCAUUUAGACUGGGUUUAGACACUGGGAAAAGUCCCAUGGAGAGUGACUCUUGGGAGUCUGUAAUAAACCUGAGCAUCUGAAUUAAUCAAUU